rnacentral:rRNA from 1 species
GACGUAGGGCGCGAGCGUUGUCCGGAUUUAUUGGGCGUAAAGAGCUCGUAGGCGGCUUGUUGCGUCGGCUGUGAAAACCCGCGGCUUAACCGUGGGCUUGCAGCCGAUACGGGCAGGCUAGAGUUCGGUAGGGGAGACUGGAAUUCCUGGUGUAGCGGUGAAAUGCGCAGAUAUCAGGAGGAACACCGGUGGCGAAGGCGGGUCCUG